UAUGGUAUUGUGUAGCAGCCGCGGUAAUACGGAGGAUCCGAGCGUUAUCCGGAUUUAUUGGGUUUAAAGGGAGCGUAGGCGGAUUGUUAAGUCAGUUGUGAAAGUUUGCGGCUCAACCGUAAAAUUGCAGUUGAUACUGGCAGUCUUGAGUGCAGUAGAGGUGGGCGGAAUUCGUGGUGUAGCGGUGAAAUGCUUAGAUAUCACGAAGAACUCCGAUUGCGAAGGCAGCUCACUGGAGUGUAACUGACGCUGAUGCUCGAAAGUGUGGGUAUCAAACAGG
rnacentral:rRNA from 1 species